UACGUGGCCAUACCAGCUUGUCAAAGCCUGAUCAUCAGACCUCAGAAGCUAAGCAGAGUCGGGGCCGGUUAGAACUUGGAUGAGAGAACACUGGGAAUACCAGGUGCCACAGUGG
rnacentral:rRNA from 1 species